rnacentral:rRNA from 1 species
UGGGGAAUUUUGGACAAUGGGCGAAAGCCUGAUCCAGCAAUGCCGCGUGUGUGAAGAAGGCCUUCGGGUUGUAAAGCACUUUUGUCCGGAAAGAAAUCCUUGGCUCUAAUACAGUCGGGGGAUGACGGUACCGGAAGAAUAAGCACCGGCUAACUACGUGCCAGCAGCCGCGGUAAUACGUAGGGUGCAAGCGUUAAUCGGAAUUACUGGGCGUAAAGCGUGCGCAGGCGGUUUGCUAAGGCCGAUGUGAAAUCCCCGGGCUUAACCUGGGAACUGCAUUGGUGACUGGCAGGCUAGAGUAUGGCAGAGGGGGGUAGAAUUCCACGUGUAGCAGUGAAAUGCGUAGAGAUGUGGAGGAAUACCGAUGGCGAAGGCAGCCCCCUGGGCCAAUACUGACGCUCAUGCACGAAAGCGUGGGGAGCAAACAGGAUUAGAUACCCUGGUAGUCCACGCCCUAAACGAUGUCAACUAGUUGUUGGGGAUUCAUUUCCUUAGUAACGUAGCUAACGCGUGAAGUUGACCGCCUGGGGAGUACGGUCGCAAGAUUAAAACUCAAAUGAAUUGACGGGGUCAUAGCUGUUUCCU